AUGCAGCCAAGUGUAACUAUGGUGUGUGGCGCGGUGCUUUGCGGGAUCCCUGGCAAACCUGCGGUGCAUCAGAUGUCAUCAGAGGGAGCGUUUUUCAAAAGCUAUGCGAUGGACGUCUGGUGUCAGAGUAUUGCUUCCACAAGUGCUUGUCCCACUGCCCGCUCGCCUGCCUUGGACUCUGGAGAUUGUGUUCCUUGGUCUGAACGGAGAUCUGCCUCGCCUCUACCUGUGGCUCUAGAAGGCCUCCGCCCAUGUCUGUAUUUCAGUUAUAUCAAAUCGCCCCAGUACGCUACCCAUCCUCCCUGCACGCCCCAGCUCUGUGCUUUCGUUUCUCCCCGUCAUCUUACAUUUACCCUGCCACUGUAAAUAGCCCUCACCCUUGUAAAUACCCC